GCUGGACAAACAAAAGUAUGUUCCUAAGUGACAAACGCUUGGAGGCGCAUGUUUAAAAUAUUGAGGUUUUUUGGCAACAAAACCAUCGGAAAUUGUUCGUUUUUUAUGUAUAUACAGAGACAAUAAAUAUUGUACAAAAUGGGGAAGAAGAAAGGAAAGAAAAAUGAAGAGGGUGGUGGUAAGAAAGCUGGAAAGAAGAAGGGAGGAAAAACCAAGAAGCCCAGUGAACCUGAGAUGACUAUCAAAGAGGCAAUAUUGGCUUAUCAG
rnacentral:lncRNA from 1 species